rnacentral:tRNA from 1 species
GCCCCCGUAGCUCAGUGGAUAGAGCGCGGCCGUCCUAAGGCCGGCGUCGGCGGUUCGAAUCCGUCCGGGGGCG